UGGGGAAUCUUGGACAAUGGGCGAAAGCCUGAUCCAGCAAUGCCGCGUGUGGGAAGAAGGCCUUCGGGUUGUAAACCACUUUUGGCAGGAAAGAAAUCGUUUGCGAUAAUACCGCGAAUGGAUGACGGUACCUGCAGAAUAAGCACCGGCUAACUACGUGCCAGCAGCCGCGGUAAUACGUAGGGUGCGAGCGUUAAUCGGAAUUACUGGGCGUAAAGCGUGCGCAGGCGGUUGGAAAAGAUAGAUGUGAAAUCCCUGGGCUCAACCUAGGAAUUGCAUUUGUGACUGUCCGACUAGAGUACGGUAGAGGGGAGUGGAAUUCCGCGUGUAGCAGUGAAAUGCGUAGAUAUGCGGAGGAACACCGAUGGCGAAGGCAGCUCCCUGGACCUGUACUGACGCUCAUGCACGAAAGCGUGGGGAGCAAACAGG
rnacentral:rRNA from 1 species